rnacentral:rRNA from 1 species
CCUACGGGAGGCAGCAGUCGAGAAUCAUUCACAAUGGGGGAAACCCUGAUGGUGCGACGCCGCGUGGGGGAAUGAAGGUCUUCGGAUUGUAAACCCCUGUCAUGUGGGAGCAAAUUAAAAAGAUAGUACCACAAGAGGAAGAGACGGCUAACUCUGUGCCAGCAGCCGCGGUAAUACAGAGGUCUCAAGCGUUGUUCGGAAUCACUGGGCGUAAAGCGUGCGUAGGCUGUUUCGUAAGACGUGUGUGAAAGGCGCGGGCUCAACCCGCGGACUGCACAUGAUACUGGGAGACUAGAGUAAGGGAGGGGGAACCGGAAUUCUCGGUGUAGCAGUGAAAUGCGUAGAUAUCGAGAGGAACACUCGUGGCGAAGGCGGGUUCCUGGACAUUAACUGACGCUGAGGCACGAAGGCCAGGGGAGCGAAAGGGAUUAGAUACCCGUGUAGUC